UACGUAGGGCGCAAGCGUUGUCCGGAAUUAUUGGGCGUAAAGAGCUCGUAGGUGGUUUGUUACGUCUGCUGUGAAAACCUAGGGCUUAACCCUGGGCCUGCAGUGGAUACGGGCAGACUAGAGGUAGGUAGGGGAGAAUGGAAUUCCCGGUGUAGCGGUGAAAUGCGCAGAUAUCGGGAGGAACACCGGUGGCGAAGGCGGCUCACUGGCUCAUUACUGACGCUCAGGCGCGACAGCGUGGGGAUCAAACAGG
rnacentral:rRNA from 1 species